ACUGUUUUAGUAAAAAAUUUAUUAUAUUAUCUUGAUAAGAUAAAGUUUAAAAUAGUA
rnacentral:tRNA from 1 species